rnacentral:tRNA from 1 species
GUUUCUGUGGCGGAAUUGGUAGACGCGCAAGUUUCAGAAGCUUGUAACUGCAAAGUUGUGAGAGUUCAAAUCUCUUCAGAAACACCA